rnacentral:rRNA from 1 species
AGCGAACGCUGGCGGCGUGCCUAACACAUGCAAGUCGAACGUGAAAAGGGAAACCUGAGUAAAGUGGCGUACGGGUGAGUAACGCGUAGGUAAUCUACCCCAGAAUCUGGAAUAACCUGCCGAAAGGCGGGCUAAUACUGGAUAGAGCGAGGGAACUCGUAAGAGAGUUUUUCGGGAAAGGGAGCCCGCAAGGGCCUUCGUUCUGGGAUGAGCCUGCGUCUCAUUAGCUAGUUGGUAAGGUAACGGCUUACCAAGGCGAUGAUGAGUAGCUGGUCUGAGAGGAUGGUCAGCCCCACUGGAACUGAAACACGGUCCAGACUCCUCCGGGAGGCAGCAGUGGGGGAUCUUGCGCAAUGGGCGAAAGUCUGACGCAGCCACGCCGCGUGAGUGGAGAAGGCCUUCGGGUUGUAAAGCUCUGUCGGAUGGGACGAACAUCUUCCUAGUGAAUAGCUAUGAGGACUGACGGUACCAUCAAAGGAAGCACCGGCUAACUCCGUG